UAAACAUGAAAAACACUUUAUUUCUCAUUGAGUAGAAUAAUUCAUUUCUGAAAUGUAUUCAUACUAUAGUAGAGUUAAUUAUUUGAACCACAGUCUAAAGAAAUGAAGAGUGCCAAACAUGCAGGAGGUUUUUGUACCAGCAGUACUAGGGAUUGUAUCACUGUGGUGCACUUUUGGUAGCGGCACCAGACUAGAUGUUGGAAGUAACAGUGCCCCCACCCUCACCGUCCUGCCCCCCUCUAGUGAGGAGCUGUCCAGUACAACAACAGCCACACUGAUGUGUCUGGCCAACAAGGGCUUCCCCUCAGACUGGACCAUAAGAUGGAAAGUGGACGGGACCAGCCAGAAGCAGAAGGCCAGUUCUAGGGUCCUGGAGAAGGAUGGCCUGUACAGCUGGAGCAGCACCCUGACUCUCACUGGCCACGAGUGGACCAAGGCAGGAGAGGUGACCUGUGAAGCCCAGCAGAAUUCCCAGAAUCCAGUCACCAAGACCUUGAGGAGGGCUGACUGUUCUGGGUAGGCCCUCUAGUCACACACCCCUGUGGAGAGAGGCUGCUGGUUCCUCUGCUUUGACUCUGUUCUGAGAUCAGAUGUUCUCUGUCUUUUGAUCACUGACAUGUCGAGUAACAGGGGGCUUUGCUUGAGUUCAUGUGUCAGUCCUCUCUGUAGACUGAGAUUGAAUCGGUAUUAGAUUUGAUGAGUUCUGUUUUGUUACUAUUAGAUACUGUAGGAAUGUUUGCUUUGAUGCUUUGAUGAAUAGAUGAAAAUAAAGAUUUCCCUUUGGAACACA